rnacentral:rRNA from 1 species
GUGGGGAAUAUUGCACAAUGGGCGAAAGCCUGAUGCAGCGACGCCGCGUGAGUGAAGAAGGUCUUCGGAUCGUAAAACUCUGUCCUUGGUGAAGAAAAAAAUGACGGUAGCCAAGGAGGAAGCCCCGGCUAACUACGUGCCAGCAGCCGCGGUAAUACGUAGGGGGCGAGCGUUGUCCGGAUUUACUGGGCGUAAAGGGUGAGUAGGCGGUUGUAUAUGUCAGAUGUAAAAGGCUAUGGCUUAACUAUAGUAAGCAUUUGAAACUGUACAACUUGAGUGCAGGAGAGGUAAGUGGAAUUCCUAGUGUAGCGGUGAAAUGCGUAGAUAUUAGGAGGAACACCAGUGGCGAAGGCGACUUACUGGACUGUAACUGACGCUGAGUCACGAAAGCGUGGGUAGCAAACAGGAUUAGAUACCCCAGUAGUCC